rnacentral:rRNA from 1 species
CGCCCGUCGCUACUACCGAUUGAAUGGCUUAGUGAGGCUUCCGGAUUGGUUUAAAGAAGGGGGCAACUCCAUCUUGGAACCGAAAAGCUAGUCAAACUUGGUCAUUUAGAGGAAGUAAAAGUCGUAACAAGGUUUCCGUAGGUGAACCUGCGGAAGGAUCAUUACAGUAUUCUUUUGCCAGCGCUUAAUUGCGCGGCGAAAAACCUUACACACUAUGUUUUUUUAAUUUGAAACUAUUGCUUUGGUCUGGCUUAGAAAUAGGUUGGGCCAAAGGUUUUAUCAAAACUUCAAUAUUUAUUAUUGAAUUGUUAUUUUAAUUUUAUGUCAAUUUGUUGAUUAAUAUCAAAAAUCUUCAAAACUUUCAACAACGGAUCUCUUGGUUCUCGCAUCGAUGAAGAACGCAGCGAAAUGCGAUAAGUAAUAUGAAUUGCAGAUUUUCGUGAAUCAUCGAAUCUUUGAACGCACAUUGCGCCCUUUGGUAUUCCAAAGGGCAUGCCUGUUUGAGCGUCAUUUCUCUCUCAAAUCUUCGGAUUUGGUUUUGAGUGAUACUCUUAGUCAGACUAAGCGUUUGCUUGAAAUGUAUUGGCAUGAGUGGUACUAGAUAGUGCUGAACUGUUUUCAAUGUAUUAGGUUUAUCCAACUCAUUGUAUCAGUAAAGUAUUUGUUUAUUACACAGGCUCGGCCUUACAACAACAAACAAAGUUUGACCUCAAAUCAGGUAGGACUACCCGCUGAACUUAAGCAUAUCAAUAAGCGGAGGAAAAGAAACCAACAGGGAUUGCCUUAGUAACGGCGAGUGAAGCGGCAAAAGCUCAAAUUUGAAAUCUAGCACUUUCAGUGUUCGAGUUGUAAUUUGAAGAAGGUAACUUUGGAAUUGGCUCUUGUCUAUGUUCCUUGGAACAGGACGUCACAGAGGGUGAGAAUCCCGUGCGAUGAGAUGUCCAAUUCUAUGUAAAGUGCUUCGAGA